rnacentral:rRNA from 1 species
UACGUAGGCAGCGAGCGUUGUUCGGAGUUACUGGGCGUAAAGGGUGUGUAGGCGGUUGUUUAAGUUUGGUGUGAAAUCUCCCGGCUCAACUGGGAGGGUGCGCCGAAUACUGAGCGACUAGAGUGCGGGAGAGGAAAGUGGAAUUCCUGGUGUAGCGGUGAAAUGCGUAGAUAUCAAGAGGAACACCUGGGGCGAAGGCGGGUUGCUAGGCUGAUACUGACGCUGAUGCGCGAAAGCUAGGGUAGCAAACGGG